GCCCCCGGGUACGCGCGCCACCAAUAAAGCCUCUUGCUUUUUGCAUCCAGAGUUCGUGGACUCACUGAUUCCUGGGUGCGGGUCUCCUUCUACGAAAGUACCUCUUCGCGGGUCUUUCAUUAGGAGAGGCAUAUCUGGAUUCGUGGGAUUCUUUUUAUUCCAGCGUUGCUUCUCUGAACCCCACAGUCUUCCACAGAGAAACAUUGAAGAGCCGACUGGCUCCUGCAGUUCUGACACUAUGGCCCUGGCCCAGGGUUCAGUGAC